rnacentral:rRNA from 1 species
AUUGAACGCUGGCGGCAUGCUUUACACAUGCAAGUCGAACGGCAGCGCGGGCUUCGGCCUGGCGGCGAGUGGCGAACGGGUGAGUGAUACAUCGGAACGUGCCCAGUAUUGGGGGAUAGCUCGGCGAAAGCCGGCUUAAUACCGCAUACGACCUGAGUGUGAAAGCGGUGGAUCUUCGGACCUCGCCCUUUUUGCGCGCCCGAUGGGAGGUUAGCUAGUUGGUGGGGUAAAUGCCUACCAAGGCGGCGAUCGGUAGCUGGUCUGAGAGGACGACCGGCCACAAUGGGAAGUGAACACGGCCAAGGCUCCUAAGGGAGGGAGCAGUGGGGAAUUUUGGACAAUGGGGGGAAGCCUGGUCCAGCAAGGGCGAGUGUGUGAUGGAGGCGUUCGGGUUGGAAAGAACUUUUGGCGGGAAAGAAAAGGAUUGGGCAAAGACCACGCUUAGAUGACGGUAACCGAAGAAUAAGCACCGGCUAACUACGUG